CUUAAUAAUCUCCCUUCAUCUUGUCGCUUCGGCCUUGAUGAUAACACAGAAAGAGUCGCUCCUGAUCAGAGUUGGACUAUAAACACAUAGUUCUAUCGGCCUGGAACUAGAUUCUGAUAGUGAAUCAACCCAUCUAAUAGUGCAUGGGUAACGGAGUCAUUGUGUCGCUGUGGCCACAUUGAUUCGAUCCCAUCUUGUCGCUUUGGCCUUGAUGCGGAUCACCUUGCUUGGGGGGGGAUACUGGCGGUACACGGGG
rnacentral:lncRNA from 1 species